UUGCUAUGAUGAUAUUAACAACUGCUGAAAGUUUAUACAGAAAUUGCUUGGUGAAAUUCAUUCCUGAGCGGUUACCUGAGCAC